UAGGGUAUCCGGGUAGGUAAUGCCAGCUGUUCUAUUUAUUGGGCUCAUCUCUCUCUCUAUAUGUCCAUCCCCCUCUCUCUCGUUUGCAGAUCUGUGAGUCACUCUCUCCCCGUCUCAAAUAUCAGAGAGGAAUCACUUUGCCAAUCUACUCUCUCGUCUCACUUUCUACCUGUCUCGCCGGUGCCCUUGUGUUCUGAACAGAUCUCUCGGUGCCGGUUUGUAUGCUAUCCGAUUGUCUAUUCCGAUCAGCUUCGCCGGCGGUGUAUUUCCACCUGUCUCGCCGUUUCCUCUCACACAUUAUCUUUCUCUCUCUAAAAUUUGGAGGUCAGGUCCAUUAACAAAACCCACCCACCACUACCACAUUUUCUCUCUCUAAAAUUCUCGAUAUCUCUCCAUACCCUCAUGGUUCACUUGUUCAAGCAUUCAUUUGCUCUCUCUGCUUUUCAUCAAGUAGACCCGAUUAGGUUUAUAUCUUGUGAGAGGAAAAUAAUUGGAAUGAGCAGUAUCGGUAAAGAGUAGCAGCGAGUCGGAUGAGACGUGCCGGAGAUCCCAGAGCACAACGCCAAAGCCGAAGCCGAAUCCGACUCCGACUCCGACGAGGCGUGGAAUUAGUGAAAGCCUGGAUCGGUGGCUGCCUUUACGAGGAGUAACGCACUAAACUUUUAAUUUUGUGUUGGGUUUUAAUUUUCUUCUGGCCGAAUGGAGCACGAGAAAAUGGAUGGUCGUCAGACAGAAAGAAUGACGAAGAGGUGGGGUUGGGUCUCUCCAUGAAAUCUGUGGUUUGUUUUGAAUGUCGGAUAUUUCUAACUUAGUAUGUGUUCUGUGAGAUGUUCUGGUUGGAACUCCUUUAAUGAAGUAAUUCUUUGUUUUGAAUGUCGGAUAUUUCUAACUUA